GAUGAACGCUAGCUACAGGCUUAACACAUGCAAGUCGAGGGGAAACGACAUCGAAAGCUUGCUUUUGAUGGGCGUCGACCGGCGCACGGGUGAGUAACGCGUAUCCAACCUGCCCAUCACUUGGGAAUAACCUUGCGAAAGUAAGACUAAUACCCAAUGACAUCCCACGAAGACAUCUGAAUGGGAUUAAAGAUUUAUCGGUGCUGGAUGGGGAUGCGUCUGAUUAGCUUGUUGGCGGGGUAACGGCCCACCAAGGCAACGAUCAGUAGGGGUUCUGAGAGGAAGGUCCCCCACAUUGGAACUGAGACACGGUCCAAACUCCUACGGGAGGCAGCAGUGAGGAAUAUUGGUCAAUGGGCGAGAGCCUGAACCAGCCAAGUAGCGUGCAGGAUGACGGCCCUAUGGGUUGUAAACUGCUUUUAGAAGGGAAUAAAGUGGGUCUCGUGAGACUUUUUGCAUGUACCUGAUGAAUAAGGACCGGCUAAUUCCGUG
rnacentral:rRNA from 1 species